rnacentral:rRNA from 1 species
CCUACGGGAGGCAGCAGUGGGGAAUUUUGGACAAUGGGCGCAAGCCUGAUCCAGCAAUGCCGCGUGAGUGAAGAAGGCCUUCGGGUUGUAAAGCUCUUUUGUCAGGGAAGAAAAGGCUACGGAUAAUACCUGUGGCUCAUGACGGUACCUGAAGAAUAAGCACCGGCUAACUACGUGCCAGCAGCCGCGGUAAUACGUAGGGUGCAAGCGUUAAUCGGAAUUACUGGGCGUAAAGCGUGCGCAGGCGGUUUUGUAAGACUGUCGUGAAAUCCCCGGGCUCAACCUGGGAAUGGCGAUGGUGACUGCAAGGCUAGAGUUUGGCAGAGGGGGGUAGAAUUCCACGUGUAGCAGUGAAAUGCGUAGAUAUGUGGAGGAACACCGAUGGCGAAGGCAGCCCCCUGGGUCAAAACUGACGCUCAUGCACGAAAGCGUGGGGAGCAAACAGGAUUAGAUACCCUGGUAGUCCACGCCCUAAACGAUGUCUACUAGUUGUCGGGUCUUAAUUGACUUGGUAACGCAGCUAACGCGUGAAGUAGACCGCCUGGGGAGUACGGUCGCAAGAUUAAAACGUCAAANAGAGUAGACGCGUGAGACGAGACGACGGACGACGACGAGGGAGGAGG